rnacentral:snRNA from 1 species
CGCACCGCAAAACGCAAUCACCA